rnacentral:lncRNA from 1 species
CCGGAGGGCGCAGCGCGGAGCCUCCAAAAGGCCGCGCCGGAUGGGGCUUCUGCCGGUUCCCAGAGGCGUACCUUACAUUCAUGGCUUCUUCCGCCGGGAGCGCGUCUGGCUCAGGCCUCCGCGCCGCGGCCAUCUGGCUCUGGGCGGGCCCGCCGGGAGUCUGCCUGUGUGCGUCUCUGUGUCUCCGUGUUCGGGGCUCCUGCGGGUGUGGGGCUGGCCCUGAGUGCCCGCCGGCUUCGCUGCCGGUGCGCGUCCCGGGGUCGGGGCCUCAGUGCUGCUCUGCCUGUCCUCACGCCUUGGGUGGCGCUGGGCACCGGCCUUGUGCGCCAUGGUGGGCGCUGAAGUUCUGGGGGCACUUAUGGCGCAGGCUCGGGGUGCUGUUCUAGCUUCAAUAGGAGGGAGACUGUUGCAGCCUCAGAGCCUCCGCCUGCAUCCCCUGCCCUCGAGGGCACUGGCAUUCUGUCUUUGGGACUGAGGGCUGCAGGUGGACUCCGGAGGAGGGUGAUAAGCCCAGGGUCCUGGGACACCCUCUCACCUGCACAGAUGGGUCCUGAGGGUCCAGAGAGCAGAGCUCCCUGCAGGAACCCAGGAUGCAAAGCUGACGUUUUUCUGGGGGGACUGAACUGGGAGACUUUGCGACUGCAUUCGUACAGUACUCCUGGCAGCCCUGCAGAAGAGGUGCUGUGAGCCCGUUUUACAGGCAAGGAAUCCGAGGCAUGGAGAAGUUAAGUGGAUUGUGGCACAGCUGAGGCGCUGUCCUGGGCAGCCUGGUUCUGUGUGUGUGGCCUCAAGGGGCCAGAGUGAGGCCGGCUUCCUCCUGGGCUCAGUGCCCCUGGAUGGGAGGUGGGCAUGAACAGGAGAGGCUUCCGAGAAUCAGAGUGUGCUCAGCCAGGAAAGGCGGAGGCCACCUAUUCAGGAAACGGGGCUGCAGCUGCUGUGCUGAGCCCGGGUGGGUGGCAGGUGCCAGUCCUCAGUUCACCGGCCUCUGCAGCUUCGUGUCUGCCUCACCGGGAGACCUGGCAGGGCCCUCCCUAGGCAACUCCUCCCAUUCCCAGUGCCCAGUGCUUGGAAGGGAGGGCCCUCAGGCAGCCCAGACGUUGGCGGGUGGAGGGGGGUGUGCCAGCCACCGUCCAGCUGCUCUUGUUCCUGCGACCUCUUUUCAGGAGGAGGAAGUGGGGGAUGGAGGCUCCUGGGCUGGGGAAAAGGGCUAGGAGGGGCCUGGAACCCAGACCCUAGAGCCAGCUUUGUACCUCAGGCCCCUGCCUUUGGCGUGGUGGACGGUGGGGUAUCAGCACAGGAGCGGGGACUGCCUCACUCCCCAGGUGCCAAGUUGGCGGGUGGGCCCAGGUGGACCUGCUGGCACAGGUUUAAUGUUUAACGUGCCCAAGUCCCGGCCCACUGAUACUGGAGGCUGCUGCCCCAGGUUGUGGAGGGUGUGCGGUGCCUGGCGUUGGCUCCUGUGCCCACCUGCCACUGCGGCUGCUGGAACUGCCUUGAAGGAAGGCGGACAGCCUGAGGGCCCUGAGUGUCAGGUUACCAAGGAAACCAAACCAGCCAACCAAGGUCUGGAG